AUGGCAAUGGCUACGAAGAUGCUGCUCCUGCUCGCUGCCGUGGCUCUUCUUGUGGCCUCCAGCGGCGCAUGGGAGACUAACAUGCACAUGCCGACGUCAGUUGCCACAGUCACCGCCAUGGAUGAGGCCGUGGCGCCGCUGAUCCAUGCGCUGCGGCCGCUGUUGGGCUCGGGCGGGCAGCUGGGGAGCCACGCCGGCGUGGCAUGCGACAGCUGGCGGCUGGGUGUGGAGGCGCACAACGUGCGUGACUGGAAGACGGUCCCCGCCAGCUGCGAGGGCUACGUCGGGCACUACAUGCUCGGCGGUCACUACCGCCGCGAUUCCAAGGUUGUCAUUGACCAGGCUAUCUCCUACGUCGAGAGCCUGAAGCUCGCCGGCAACGGCAAGGAGGUGUGGGUCUUCGACGUCGACGAGACCACGCUCUCCAACCUCCCCUACUACGCCACUCACGGCUUCGGGGCUACGCCGUACAACUGGACGAGCUUCCAAGAGUACGCACGGCAGGCGAGCGCACCUGCCCUGCCAGAGACGAAGCGGCUGUACAACAAGUUGCUUUCAGUGGGCAUCAAGCCUGUGAUCCUCACUGGCCGGCGAGAGGCCCAGAGGACCGCCACUGUCACAAACCUCCGCCAGCAGGGGUUUUCUGGGUCGAUGGCGGUGCUGCUGAAGCCAGCGGAGUUCAAGGGCUCCUCGGUGACCUUCAAGUCCGGUGAGAGACAAAAGCUGUUGGACGCUGGGUAUGUCAUCGUCGGCAACAUCGGUGACCAGUGGAGCGACAUCCUCGGCACGCCAGAGGGCGCCCGCACCUUUAAGCUGCCCGACCCCAUGUACUACAUCGGCUAG
rnacentral:rRNA from 1 species